CAGCCGCCGCGGUAAUACGUAGGGUGCGAGCGUUAAUCGGAUUUACUGGGCGUAAAGCGUGCGCAGGCGGCCCGUUAAGACAGGUGUGAAAUCCCUGGGCUCAACCUAGGAAUUGCGCUUGUGACUGGCGGGCUCGAGUACGGUAGAGGGGGGUGGAAUUCCUGGUGUAGCAGUGAAAUGCGUAGAGAUCAGGAGGAACACCGAUGGCGAAGGCAGCCCCCUGGGCCUGUACUGACGCUCAUGCACGAAAGCGUGGGGAGCAAACAGGAUUAGAUACCCUGGUAGUCCACGCCCUAAACGAUGGGUACUAGCCGUUUGGUGCGCGAUAGCGCUGAGUGGCGAAUCUAACGCGUGAAGUACCCCGCCUGGGGAGUACGGCCGCAAGGUUGAAACUUAAAGGAAUUGGCGGG
rnacentral:rRNA from 1 species